GACGAACGCUGGCGGCGUGCUUAACACAUGCAAGUCGAACGGAAAGGCCCUGCUUUUGUGGGGUGCUCGAGUGGCGAACGGGUGAGUAACACGUGAGUAACCUGCCCUUGACUUUGGGAUAACUUCAGGAAACUGGGGCUAAUACCGGAUAGGAGCUCCUGCUGCAUGGUGGGGGUUGGAAAGUUUCGGCGGUUGGGGAUGGACUCGCGGCUUAUCAGCUUGUUGGUGGGGUAGUGGCUUACCAAGGCUUUGACGGGUAGCCGGCCUGAGAGGGUGACCGGCCACAUUGGGACUGAGAUACGGCCCAGACUCCUACGGGAGGCAGCAGUGGGGAAUAUUGCACAAUGGGCGGAAGCCUGAUGCAGCAACGCCGCGUGCGGGAUGACGGCCUUCGGGUUGUAAACCGCUUUCGCCUGUGACGAAGCGUGGGUGACGGUAAUGGGUAAAGAAGCACCGGCUAACUACGUG
rnacentral:rRNA from 1 species